CUGGGGCAAAUGACACGAGUCAGCAUUUACUUCUUGGAAGCAGAAGACUAAUGACCGAAGCUUCAAGACUUUGACAUGUAUGAAAACAUGAAAUGACCCUCGGCUCUUAUUGUUCUUGCUGGUGUGGUGCGUUCACAGCUGAGGAGGUGGUCAGAAGAGGAAAGGAGGAAGUGAGAAGAAACACGGAAAUGACGGAGUGUUGAAAGACUGGAGUGCAAUGGUGUGAUC